UGCCAUUGAAGUAUUUGUUGACACCUGUCAAUGUUCCUUUCGCUUGGGAAUGACACAAAUAGGAAAUGUAUAUAAUAAACUGUCAAUUGUUGUAAAUAUUAAAUAUUUUUAAACUAAUAGUUCUGGGACAUUUACUUAUCGUGACAUUGAAUGAUUAUGUUUGUCUGUUUGUAACACUGUUGCCUAUAUUACUAAGACUCCAUAUUAUGUUGUCGUAUUGAUUGUAUUGUUGUAUUUUAUUAAUGGACUGAUUUAUAGAUUAGACGAAACUGUACAGAAGUGUAUAGUUAGUUUGCAAUAUUCUACUUUGUUUAGUACAAAAUGGUGUAUGUUUUGGGGUUCUUUAACAGUUUAUAUUUGAUUUUUUUGUGAUAUAGCCAAUAAUAGCCAUAAAUAACUGGUGGUUUAUGUAUGUGCCAUAAGAGGUUGGCGUCAGACACCUAAAAUAUUAUAACAUUAUCAAGAAUCAAUAAGUAAUGGUGCAAUACAUUCCCCAAAAAAUGUUUAGCAACCAA